GGGAAAAAUUACACAAAUUAGGUCAUCACAUAAUCCAAUACAUGGAUCCCACCUGCGCGCGCAUCGCCAUUGUUGUUGCUAGGGAACAACACCUGCAGUGAAAACAAAUCUGAAGGAGCGCUCAUGUAACACAGACUCUCUGAUUAUUUCUUGUUUAUUCCUUCCGAGAUGCCCCUAAGUUGUGCAGCAUUUGGUUGCAAAAAUCACAAUAAGAUAUUAGACUUUUUUCAAUUUCCCAAUAAUGAUCCUGCCACUUGCAGGCGAAAGAACAAAGAUGGAACUCCCUGGAAUCAACUGAAAAGAACGUUUACCCUUGCGGAAGGCAUUUCGUCACUGGUUAGGAAUAAUUUUGUUAGCGUAUUUACUCAUCUAAAAUAAAAGAUUAAAUAAUUUCUCAUUCCGUUGUUUUCAUGCCGUGUAAAGAGCCACCCAAGGUGAAAUGGGUACUUCAUUCAAUCUUUGUGAUGACGGCCUUCAUUUAUCCAAGCGUCGGCUGGCAGUUGAUAUGGGCGAACUUCCAGGCCAAGGUCUGUAUAAGCACUUAUAUAGACCUUGUUCCAGGCUACAAACAUUCAACUUGUUCAGAUAACUAGAUUUUGCUUCUCCUUGAAGUUCCUCAUAGCUGUAUGAAGCCAUCUUAACGACUGGAGAUAGAUUCCGAACGCAAUAUUUUAUUUCACUUCCAUGUCACGCUGCAAUGAAGAGAGCCCAGCAAGGGGUUUGUUUUCACUGCAGCCAAGUUGCCACCUAUGUAGGGGUUUGCACCCCGUGACCCCACAGGGAGAGCUGCCGUCCCAACCCUUACAAAAGAAUCCUUUAGAUAUUUGAGGAUGGAUACACUGAAACAGUGCGUACUGUGACCACAUUCUCAUCAUUUACCAUGCCGAUAGAUAUCUUUUGCAGCUCCCGGCGACCCCCGCCCCUCCUGGCCAGGAUGCUCUCCCCAAACACCGCCUUGGAUCCUCUAAGUGUUAGUGAUAGGGUGCAGGGCAAAACCGGUCACUGCCAUCUCACAGAAAUGUAAGUUGGAUCAUCAUUGGCAGCAUCAAUGGUUUUCAGUCUGUUAUCAUCAAUUUUGAUUAUUGGAAAAUAGGAAAGUUGUUAUAAAGUACCUGAGAAGAUUACUCAAGGCUUCCUCAUGACAAUAUACAUACCGUCCAAAAAGGGGUGAGGAGAACAUGAAACCUGUUUUUAUAAUAAACAGAACAGGAGCAAGAACAGAGUAAUUGAGAAAUCAAAGAACCACAUGAAAAACGUGAAGAAAGAUGGGAUGGAAUUGUGCUGCACUGAAAGAUAAUAUUCAGAGUCUGCACUGACAUCUUUACAAUUUUUGACUUCAGGUACAAAAUUGGUGGAGACAUCAGUUUUCAUCGGCUAAAAUUAGAAGGCAAGUGGAUAAAGUUAUAACUAUUUAUUUUCAGAUUGGAAUAUUUAUCCAAAGAACCAUAGCCAUGGUAGAGUAUGUGUGAAAA